rnacentral:lncRNA from 1 species
ACAUGAGGGAGUAUAUUCAUAAAUUCUGCAAGACAUGUACGCAUACAAAAUUAAACAACAACAAGAGGAAUGUGCUCAAGAGAACACAUGACAGGAACUGUGGUUCAGAAGAAGAGCAGAUGGAGAGUGUGGGCUGAAGAGGCAGAAGGAACUCCAGGAGUUGAAUGGAAGAGCACAGAAGGGAAACAGUGAGCAUCGUUACUACUGCACCCUCAUCCCAGCUAUGAUCUGCUAAUCCUCAGAUAGCCUGAGACGGGGAAUCAGUUGCCCAACAACUCCUGUGAUCAUCUGC